GAUGAACGCUGGCGGCGUGCCUAAUACAUGCAAGUCGAGCGAACGGACGAGAAGCUUGCUUCUCUGAUGUUAGCGGCGGACGGGUGAGUAACACGUGGAUAACCUACCUAUAAGACUGGGAUAACUUCGGGAAACCGGAGCUAAUACCGGAUAAUAUUUUGAACCGCAUGGUUCAAAAGUGAAAGACGGUCUUGCUGUCACUUAUAGAUGGAUCCGCGCUGCAUUAGCUAGUUGGUAAGGUAACGGCUUACCAAGGCAACGAUGCAUAGCCGACCUGAGAGGGGGUCGGGCAACCGUGAACUUAGACCCCGGCCCGACCCCUAAGGGAGGGAGCAGUAGGGAAACCUUCGGCAAUGGCGGAAGCCUGACGGAGCAAAGGCGCGGGAGUGAUGGAGGUCCUCCGGUCGGAAAACUCUGUUAUUAGGGAAGAACAUAUGUGUAAGUAACUGUGCACAUCUUGACGGUACCUAAUCAGAAAGCCACGGCUAACUACGUG
rnacentral:rRNA from 1 species